rnacentral:misc_RNA from 1 species
AUUGCUGGACGGUCCUCUGGUGAUGCCUGAGUGCACAGUAAUGCCACCUGAAUCAUCAUCUCCACUUCCCCCAGCUCGUAGUUAUUAUUCAGGUUGCGGUCUACAAUUGCGUCCAGUUUUUUAUCCCUUUGCAGUUUUCUGACAUGGUCAAGCAACAAGACAUCAUCUUCAUCUUCUAGGCGUGAGAAGUCUAUUGCACGUUGGCCGGUUACAAUUUCCAAAAGCAUGAUUCCAUAGCCAAAAACAUCAGUUUUUUCUGAU